rnacentral:rRNA from 1 species
AUUGAACGCUGGCGGCAGGCCUAACACAUGCAAGUCGAGCGGGCGGCGGACGGGUGAGUAAUGUAGGGGGACUGCCCGAUAGAGGGGGAUAACUACUGGAAACGGUAGCUAAUACCGCAUACUAUCGAAUAACCCAUAUGGGAUUAGCUAGUAGGUGAGGUAAUGGCUCACCGAGGCGACGAGCCCUAGCUGGUCUGAUAGGAUGAUCAUCCACACUGGUACUGAGACACGGCCCAGAGUCCUACGGAGGCAGCAGGGGGGAAUAUUGCACAAUGGGCGCAAGCCUGAUCCAGCCAUCCCGCGUGUAUGAUGAAGGCCUUCGGGUUGUAAAGUACUUUUGGCAGAGAAGCGGUAUCUGCAGAAUAAGCACCGGCUAACUACGUGCCAGCAGCCGCGGUAAUAC